UCAGAAAUAAUUUAUAGAUAGGAAAAUUAUCUUUAAUAUUAUUUAAUAUAAUCCCCUCGUAGAUUAUAAAUUAAUGACUAACCUGACUUUGUUGUGUCAGAAGUUUGGAAUUUGUUUUUUUUUUUUUUAAAGUUAAAGGUUUUCGUUUUUCAGCUUUCCUAAAAUUGAUGUUUAUUCAGUUUAUUAACAAUUAUUUUCAGAUAUUAAAUAAUUCUAACACAUUGAAAAUAUAAUUUAUAUUUGAUCUGGUAUAUUUUGGGAUUUCGUCUAGAUUUUUGCAUUAAAUAUGUGAUGAGUAAUCGAUUUUGAAAAAAGUCGUCUUUACAACAAAUUCUUUUAUAGAGAAUGUACUUUACAUCUCCAUAUUUAAGAUCAGUUUUCAGCCAGAUGAUGCUGUUUACUUUGAUAAACGUCUCCGAAUUAGCUUCGGAGAGAUGUGGAAGCGGAAAACUCUGUGCAGUUUCAUCCCCUCGCCGAUAGAUGGCGGUGAUAGACGGCGCUUUCAUAAUAUAAACGGCCGAGCGAUCCUCGCAGCUCAGAGCCAUAGGAGGCAUUCGCGCGGACAGUACGUACUAAACAACUUGUGAUACGUUACGAUUGUGUUAACAGUGAAAUGGAUAUUGUUACUUUGGACCCGACCGGACUUUAUUGAGAUGUACGUCCACAGUCUAGAUCCGACGGGUCAAUACUGAUGGCAAAGAGCCUGGACCCCACUGGUGUGUAUUAAAACACUUAUAAGAAUAGAGAGAUGGAUGUGCUGGAUCCGACAGGGCAGUAUUAGAGGAUGUGGGGCCUCGAGCCGACACAGCUAUAAGACUCCGACCUACAAUGUGCUGCGGCAGACGGCGUAUUCUCACGGGAACGAAUCCAGAGGAGACAUCUUCAUGCAGGAAAAGGAGGUUCUAUAUAAAAGAUAAAUAGCAGUCGGCCGAUGAUGUACGGAAAUGGUAAUCAGCUGACACAACCAACCGGAAAUGCAGAUACAUUGGAAAAAUACAAUCCUGCGGUAACGACCGAGAUAGGGAAGUGUUGCCAGCCGCGACGUCAUGCUCCCACUAAUAUACUAUACUGUUCCAGUGUAAACUUUGGAUGAAUACUCAUUAGUUCGUAAGGAAACAAUCCGUUCGACUGACUUCAAUAUAACUCAAUAUCUCUCGUGCAUUUUUUUUUUUUUUAUAAUAAUUAUUAUUUUUAUAUAAAUUAUGUUAAAUUAAAUAAUUAGUUUCGAUGUUAUUUUUAUUUGGAUAGAAAUAGAAUAGAAUGUGACAAGCAAAUGAGGCAGCGGUUUUUUUGUACGGCGCUCAAAAAUUCUUGUACAUUAAAUGAGACGCCGACAGAUUUCACCGAAUAUAUGUAGUUUAAGAUUUCACUUUCAGCGUAAUUCGAGUUACCAAUUUGAUAUUGCUUGAAAUUGAUUGUAAAUAAAGCGCUUUCUACGGCUUUUUUUUUAAAUAUAUAUAUAUAAAUUUUAUUUCAGUGUUGCCAUUUAAGACUGAAUGAAAUUUUUUUUUUAAUUAGUACGUACGUAAUCGGUUUAUCUUCUCGUUUUGUAAAUCCCAGAAAGGAUCCCACCCUAGGUUAUUUGAAUUUAUAUGUAUUGUAAUAAAUUACUUCUAAAUAAAUAAAUAAAUAAUAAAAUAUAUUGUUUUAUAUUU